rnacentral:misc_RNA from 1 species
AACAGCUUUCCUGAGCUGCAUGUUUUAGUUUUUGGAAGGUCAUGUGUCAUAUUAUUCUGUUAUUAUUUGAUGAAUACAUAUUUUGAUUUCGCUUGUGCAGCACAAGGACCUGAAACGAUUCUUCCUGUCAGCACUCUACCAUUUGAAUGGUUCUCACUUAUUCUACAAUAUGCUCACUUCUGUGGAAGGGGAUUCAAUUGGAGACAUCAAUCGGAAGUGCAGAAUUUGCAUCGACAGUUGCAGGCCUUAGUUGCUAUGUCCCAGGGCAUCACACUAUUGCCUGAGAAGUCACUUCUGCUGUUCUUUAACUAUGAGAGGCCCUACUAUCAGGAAUAUGCUGUGGGAUUUUCUGGUGUUCUUUUUGCCAUGAAAAUUAUUCUCAAUGCACAAUCACAUGAUUAUACAUAUGUUCAUGGGCUGUUGGUACCGACUCGUUAUGCUGCCUGGGCAGAACUGAUUCUCAUACAAAUGUUCGUACCUGGUGUCUCAUUUCUUGGCCACCUUGGUGCAAUACUUGCCGGCCUUCUGUUUUUGUGUUUAAAAGCAUCGUAUUCAGGUGCGAAUCCACUGAGGACAAUCAUCAGAGGUUUUGGGCAUGCACUGAACUGGCCUUUAAGGUUUAUGAACUGUUUAUUCCGAAGGCAAAUAAUUGGUGGUAGAGGAACCGUUGGUGGGAGACGGACAAGAGAUACAUCUCAAAUGUGGCGAUGCCAAGGAUGUACAUUUGAUAAUUCAGGCUGGUUAAAUGUUUGUGAGAUGUGCAGCACAAGUCGUACUGAUGAUGUGCUGUCGUCUCUUAGUUCAACGGAUGAGGUUCAAGAUCUAUCAUUGGAUGAGUUGCGGCAUCGGAGAAUUCAAAGAUAUGGUAGAUGACAAGGAAGAUUGGCUUAAUAGCUUUCUCUGGAAAUGGUCAUAUUGAAGCAGGAUUGUAGAUCCUGAAGAUGCCAUAAAUGAUAUGUUGAAUAAUCACUGUGCUAUAGUCGAAGAAAGCAGUAAUUACCUUACUGUUCAGGUACAAUAGCUGUUCAUUAACGUAUAUAAACGUUGAAAUUUUGUAGACAUUGUGUUACCCUUUAUCUUGUCAUGCAUCCAAAGGGGAAGUUUCCA